rnacentral:ncRNA from 1 species
CAGACUGAUUGGGUGCUAAGAUCCAAAGUCGAGAGGGAAACAGCCCAGACCGUACGCUAAGGUCCCUAAGCAAUCACUUAGUGGAAAAGGAAGUGAUCGAGCGAUGACAACCAGGAGGUGGGCUUGGAAGCAGCCAUCCUUUGAAGAAAGCGUAAUAGCUCACUGGUCUAGCUCCAUGGCACCGAAAAUGUCUCAGGGCU